GCACAGAGUUAGCCGGUGCUUCCUUUGAGGGUACCGUCACUUCCCGGAGCUGUUAACUCCGGGAACGUUCGUUCCCUCCGACAGAGCUUUACGACCCGAAGGCCUUCAUCACUCACGCGGCGUUGCUGCGUCAGGCUUUCGCCCAUUGCGCAAUAUUCCCACUGCUGCCUCCCGUAGGAGUCUGGACCGUGUCUCAGUUCCAGUGUGGCUGAUCAUCCUCUCAGACCAGCUAACCAUCUUUGCCUUGGUAGGCCGUUACCCUACCAACUAGCUAAUGGUGCGCAGGCCCAUCUCUAAGUGAUAGCUUACAAGUAGAGGCUAUCUUUGACCUCUGCUCCCAAAGAAGCUGUGGUCUUAUUCGGUAUUAGCCCGUCUUUCGACAAGUUAUCCCAAUCUCAGAGGCAGGUUACCUACGUGUUACUCACCCGUGCGCCACUUUACUCAGGGCCGAAGCCCCUUUCUCGUUCGACUUGCAUGUGUUAGGCACGCCGCCAGCGUUCGUU
rnacentral:rRNA from 1 species